CAGUAGCCGCGGUAAUACGUAGGGUGCGAGCGUUAAUCGGAAUUACUGGGCGUAAAGCGUGCGCAGGCGGUUAUAUAAGACAGAUGUGAAAUCCCCGGGAUCAACCUGGGACCUGCAUUUGUGACUGUAUAGCUAGAGUACGGUAGGGGGGGAUGGAAUUCCGCGUGUAGCAGUGAAAUGCGUAGGUAUGCGGAGGAACACCGAUGGCGAAGGCAAUCCCCUGGACCUGUACUGACGCUCAUGCACGAAAGCGUGGGGAGCAAACAGGAUUAGAUACCCCAGUAGUCCCUGUCUCUUAUAC
rnacentral:rRNA from 1 species